rnacentral:lncRNA from 1 species
CAGCAAAUGAAUGAGCAAUUGCGAUGACAAAUGGUAAAUGUUGAUCUAAAGGCAGUGUUCUUUCCACUCCAACAUACUGGGAAACACUGAAUCUGGAAACAUGCUCGUGGAGCCCCAGGCUGAGCUCCAAGGCUUUUUCCUUCUUAAAGACCUUGAGCCCUGAAGGCUGCCCCGCCGUCCCUGCCCAGUGUAACCCCGGGAGAGGGGGGAGGUGGCUGUGGAGGUGACAGUGUAGUACCUGGGGCUGCUAGCAGGCGAGGAUUUGGAAGUGCUGCCUGGCCACGGGGGUGUGCAGGGGCUUCUAGACAGCUCAGCCCUUCCAGCGAACUGCUUGCCAAGUUAACCCCUGAAAAACAACACUAAGGACCAAAGAUGGCUUUGAGCCCAGAGGUGGCUGUGUCUGUGACCAAGAAAAGACUCCCAUGGAACGUGUCUGUGCCAGAUGAGUGGAAGAGGACAGUCCCAAGACUAAGGACUGGGUGGUUACAAGGCUUGAAUUAAAUACACUGAAUGUGGAAGUGCUUUGCAAACCGUAAGGCACUAGCGUGUGCCCUCUGGCAAGGGCGAUGAGUGUAGUGCAGAGAAGCAGUACAGCGCAGACAGCGAGUCCUGGAAUGCGACGCCAAGGAACGAGAUAGCGAUUUCUGAGCAAAACCCACAGGCUGAUUGUGAACAUAAGAGGCAAAUUGCAACAGGCUGUGCAGAUCAGGAGUGCCUCUGCCAAGCACACAUCAGCACACACGUGUGCCCAGCAUGGAACAGAACCUGACUGCACGUUGGUCUUUUUGGCUACAAACCCAUAAACAGAUAGCAGUUGGAAGCAGCACUAACACACGG